GUUAUAGGGUCAAGCGAACAAGUGCAUGUGGUGGAUGCCUUGGCGAUCACAGGCGAUGAAGGACGCGGUAGCCUGCGAAAAGCUACGGGGAGCUGGCAAACAAGCUUUGAUCCGUAGAUGUCCGAAUGGGGAAACCCACUCCUUUUGGAGUAUCCAUGGCUGAAUACAUAGGCCAUGCGAAGCGAACGCGGUGAACUGAAACAUCUAAGUAACCGCAGGAAAAGAAAUCAACCGAGAUUCCCAAAGUAGUGGCGAGCGAAAUGGGAUGAG
rnacentral:rRNA from 1 species